GAGUCCUGCUCCCCUUUCAUCAAUGCAUAGACCCAGAAGCCCCCUCUGUCCUGCAGCACCUGCAAUGAGCAUCGGCCUCCUGUACUGUGCGGCCUUUUCUCUCCUGUGGGCAGGUCCAGUGAAUGCUGGUGUCACUCAGACCCCAAAAUUCCAGGUCCUGAAGACAGGACAGAGCAUGACACUGCAGUGUGCCCAGGAUAUGAACCAUAACUCCAUGUACUGGUAUCGACAAGACCCAGGCAUGGGGCUGAGGCUGAUUCAUUACUCAGCUGUUGAGGGUAUCACUGACAAAGGAGAAGUCUCCGAUGGCUACAAUGUCUCCAGAUUAAACAAACAGAAUUUGCUGCUCAGGCUGGUGUCAGCUGCUCCCUCCCAGACAUCUGUGUACUUCUGUGCCAGCAGUGAAGCCACAGUGCUGCACGGCCGUCUCCUCCCUGCACAGAAAGGCAAGGGAGGCUCUGCUCUCGUCCCCACCCCAGACUCAGUGAUGCCCUUGGUCCUAGCACCGGAAACUUUGGAGCCCCAGUGGGCCCGGGCACUAUGUGCAGGCGCUUUUGUGCUAAGGAAGAGCCUGGACUAUCAGACUUGGACUCGAUCCUGCAUGGGAUUAGAAAGGACGAGGCAUGAGCUGCGGAGACUGGGAGCCCACAAGCUGAUGCAGAUGGAGGACCCCUUCCCAAGAGGAAUAAGAGAGGCUCUGGGCGCUGGGCCUCUGCUCCAGCUCAGCACAGUAGAGCUGAGCCCUGCCAUGAAGUGA